rnacentral:rRNA from 1 species
CGAUAUAAGCGAAGAGGUCUGGAAAGGCCCGCCAAAGAAGGUAACAGCCCUGUAACUGAAAUGUUGUUCUCUCCAGAGUGGAUCCUGAGUACGGCGGAACACGUGAAAUUCCGUCGGAAUCCGGGAGGACCAUCUCCCAAGGCUAAAUACUCCCUAGUGACCGAUAGUGAACCAGUACCGUGAGGGAAAGGUGAAAAGCACCCCGGAAGGGGAGUGAAAUAGAUCCUGAAACCGUGUGCCUACAAGUAGUCAGAGCCCGUUAAAGGG